UCCAGACUCCUACGGGAGGCAGCAGUGGGGAAUAUUGCACAAUGGGGGAAACCCUGAUGCAGCGACGCCGCGUGAGUGAAGAAGUAUUUCGGUAUGUAAAGCUCUAUCAGCAGGAAAGAAAAUGACGGUACCUGACUAAGAAGCCCCGGCUAACUACGUGCCAGCAGCCGCGGUAAUACGUAGGGGGCAAGCGUUAUCCGGAUUUACUGGGUGUAAAGGGAGCGUAGACGGUGAAGCAAGUCUGAAGUGAAAGGCGGGGGCUCAACCCCCGGACUGCUUUGGAAACUGUUUGACUGGAGUGCAGGAGAGGUAAGUGGAAUUCCUAGUGUAGCGGUGAAAUGCGUAGAUAUUAGGAGAAACACCAGUGGCGAAGGCGGCUUACUGGACGGCAACUGACGCUGAGGCUCGAAAGCGUGGGGAGCAAACAGGAUUAGAUACCCGGGUA
rnacentral:rRNA from 1 species